GACGAACGCUGGCGGCGUGCUUAACACAUGCAAGUCGAACGAAGUGGCGCACGGGUGUGUAACGCGUAAUCCACCUGCCCUUCAUAGGGGUACAACAGGUAGAAACGACUGCUAAUCCCGCAUACCGAAGGAGGGGGUUGCGUCUGGUUAGCUAGUUGGAGGGGUAAAGGCCAACCACGGCGAUGAUCAGUAUGCGGUCUGAUAGGGGGUACGGCCAAAGUGGAACUGGGACACGACCGAGACUCUGACGGGGAGCAGCAGUGGGGAAUCUUCCGGAAGGGACGAAAGACUAACAGAGCGACAGCGGGUGAGUGAUGACGGCCUUCGGGUUUUAAAGCUAUGUUAAUCGGGACGCGGUACCGGAUUAGAAAGCCACGGCUAACUACGUGCCAGCCGCCGCGGUAAUAC
rnacentral:rRNA from 1 species